AGGCCAAAAAUCAUCUCAUCCAGACGGAGAUCGAGCAGAUUGGAGAGAUUCCUCAGUUGAUAAGGAAUCAUUCCUCCGAACUCUGCUCCUGAUAAGUAGAGAUAUUUAAAGGUUUAAGAGAACCAAGAAAGCUAGGAAUCUGGAUUCCAUGAAAUUCAUUGUCACUCAAAUCCAGGUGAGUUAGAUGUUUCAAAUCCAGCAAAGAAGGAUUUAUCUUACCACUCAAUCUAGAGCUGUAAUAAGAAUCACUGAGGUGGAGCUCCAGGAUGUGAUCUGCUGCAUCAUCACAGACAACUCCAGUCCAGUAGCAACAGUCUCCUUCAGCAGACCAUAAGAAAAGCCAAUUUGAAUAAUCAAUAAUUUCUUUACACCGCACACCGAAAUUUCCAUUGCAGAAGCUAGUGGUUGCAAUAAUUAGAAACAACACAACUAAAAGAGAAUCUCAUGGUUACACAACAUACCAUUACCUCCAGGCCAAAAAUCAUCUCAUCCAGACGGAGAUCGAGCAGAUUGGAGAGAUUCCUCAGUUGAUAAGGAAUCAUUCCCCCGAACUCUGCUCCUGAUAAGUUGAGAUAUUUAAAGGUUUAAGAGAACUAAGAAAGCUAGGAAUCUGGAUUCCAUGAAAUUCAUUGUCACUCAAAUCCAGGUGAGUUCGAUGUUCCAAAUCCAGCAAAGAAGGAUUUAUCUUACCACUCAAUCUAGAGCUGUAAUAAGAAUCACUAAGGUGGAGCUCCAGGAUGUGAUCUGCUGCAUCAUCACAGACAACUCCAGUCCAGUAGCAACAGUCUCCUUCAGCAGACCAUAAGAAAAGCCGAUUUGAAUAAUCAAUAAUUUCUUUACACCGCACACCGAAAUUUCCAUUGCAGAAGCUAGUGGUUGCAAUAAUUAGAAACAACACAACUAAAAGAGAAUCUCAUGGUUACACAACAUACC
rnacentral:lncRNA from 1 species